UACGGAGGGUGCGAGCGUUGUCCGGAAUCACUGGGCGUAAAGGGCGCGUAGGCGGCCUGAUAAGUAGGGGGUGAAAUCCUGCGGCUUAACCGCAGGGCUGCCUUCUAAACUGUCAGGCUUGAGCACAGUAGAGGCAGGUGGAAUUCCCGGUGUAGCGGUGGAAUGCGUAGAGAUCGGGAAGAUCAUCGGUGGCGAAAGCGCUCUGCUGGACUGCAACUGACACUCAGGGACGAAAGCUAGGGGAGCGAAUGGG
rnacentral:rRNA from 1 species